rnacentral:lncRNA from 1 species
AAGAAAUUGUAGCUGAACUCUGUCUUAUCAACGGGGGACAAGAAAGGUUGGAAGUCAUGAGAUUUUAGAAAGAUCAAGAAAUACAG